AUUGAACGCUAGCGGGAUGCCUAACACAUGCAAGUCGAACGGAGUGGCGAACGGGUGGGUAAUGAAUCGGAACGUGACCAGUCGCGGGGGGUGACUACGCGAAGGCGAAGCUAAUAACGCACACUUUUGGCCCGGCCGAUAGCGGAGUGGCUAGCUGGUGGGGUAACGGCCCACCAAGGCGACGAUCCGUAGCUGGUUUGAGAGGCCGACCAGCCACACUGGAACUGAGACACGGCCCAGACUCCUACGGGAGGAAGCAGUGGGGAAUUUUGGACAAUGGGGGAAAGCCUGAUCGAGCCAUGCCGCGUGUGUGAUGAAGGCCUUCGGGUUGUAAAGCACUUUUGGCAGGAAAGCGGUACCUGCAGAAUAAGCACCGGCUAACUACGUGCCAGCAGCCGCGGUAAUAC
rnacentral:rRNA from 1 species